GUAGGUGAACCUGCGGAAGGAUCAUUAACACUUUUUUUUUGUCGUUGUUCUUCUUUUUUGAGUUAACCCUCAUUUAUUGAAGACAACGCAAUCCAUCCAAAAUACCCAAACUGAAUUGCUAGUGGAGAAUUUCUUUCGGGAAAUCUCCCAUUUUUUUUUAUUACAAAAAACCCCAAUCUAAUUGCUAAUGCUAUGACAAAACAAAAAACAAAAAACUACUUUAACGUAACCAAACAACUCUUAGCAACGGAUAUCUUGGCUCUC
rnacentral:misc_RNA from 1 species